AGACCCGAAACCCGGUGAUCUAGCCAUGGGCAGGUUGAAGGUUGGGUAACACUAACUGGAGGACCGAACCGACUAAUGUUGAAAAAUUAGCGGAUGACCUGUGGCUGGGGGUGAAAGGCCAAUCAAACCGGGAGAUAGCUGGUUCUCCCCGAAAGCUAUUUAGGUAGCGCCUCGUGAAUUCAUCUCCGGGGGUAGAGCACUGUUUCGGCUAGGGGGCCAUCCCGGCUUACCAACCCGAUGCAAACUGCGAAUACCGGAGAAUGUUAUCACGGGAGACACACGGCGGGUGCUAACGUCCGUCGUGAAGAGGGAAACAACCCAGACCGCCAGCUAAGGUCCCAAAGUCAUGGUUAAGUGGGAAACGAUGUGGGAAGGCCCAGACAGCCAGGAUGUUGGCUUAGAAGCAGCCAUCAUUUAAAGAAAGCGUAAUAGCUCACUGGUCGAGUCGGCCUGCGCGGAAGAUGUAACGGGGCUAAACCAUGCACCGAAGCUGCGGCAGCGAACGUAUCACCCAAGACAACUUUGCGGAGUUGACGAUUGACGGAGCGAAGCGACGUCAAAGCGUUCAUUAAAGUCGAGUUGGCUUAGGGAUACGUUCGUUGGGUAGGGGAGCGUUCUGUAAGCCUGUGAAGGUGGCCUGUGAGGGUUGCUGGAGGUAUCAGAAGUGCGAAUGCUGACAUAAGUAACGAUAAAGCGGGUGAAAAGCCCGCUCGCCGGAAGACCAAGGGUUCCUGUCCAACGUUAAUCGGGGCAGGGUGAGUCGACCCCUAAGGCGAGGCCGAAAGGCGUAGUCGAUGGGAAACGGGUUAAUAUUCCCGUACUUGGUGUUACUGCGAAGGGGGGACGGAGAAGGCUAUGUUGGCCGGGCGACGGUU
rnacentral:rRNA from 1 species